rnacentral:rRNA from 1 species
AGGGAAAGCUGGCGGUAGGCCUAACACAUGCAAGUCGAACGGCAGCACAGUAAGAGCUUGCUCUUACGGGUGGCGAGUGGCGGACGGGUGAGGAAUACAUCGGAAUCUACUUUUUCGUGGGGGAUAACGUAGGGAAACUUACGCUAAGACCGCAUACGACCUACGGGUGAAAGCAGGGGAGCUUCGGACCGGGCGCGAGGGAAGGAGCCGAUGGCGGAUUAGCUAGUUGGCGGGGUAAAGGCCCACCAAGGCGACGAUCCGUAGCUGGUCUGAGAGGAUGAUCAGCCACACUGGAACUGAGACACGGUCCAGACUCCUACGGGAGGCCGCCGUGGGGCCUCUUGUCCCCUGGGCGCCCGCCUGCUCCCGCCCUCCCGCGUGGGUGCCGCAGGCCUUCGGGUUGUAAAGCCCUUUUGUUGGGAAAGCCCCGCCGCCGGUUCCUCCCCCGCUGUUCUGCCGGUCCCCCCCGCAUAAGCCCCGGCUCGCUUCGUG